rnacentral:rRNA from 1 species
AUGGGGGCAGUAUUGAGAGACGACAAAGGUAGGUUUAUUGCAGGAGGGAAUGGAAGGAUAGACUACUGUGCGGACGUUCUCAUGGUGGAGGCCUUAGCUCUCAAAUUUGGCCUAAAUUUAGCGCAAAGGGCGGGAUGUAAUCGCCUAAUUAUCAACUCUGACAAUCUGGAGGUGGUUGAGACAAUGCAAGACGGAGGACAGUCAGCGGGAGCGGUGGCGGCAAUCUUCGAUGACUGCUAUCACUAUGCUUGUGAUUUUAUCAUGACUAAAUUCAAACAUUGUAAUAGAGAGGCAAAUAAAGUAGCACAUGAACUUGUUAGAUUAGCUAGAUUUUUUUCGACUUCGGUUUGGUUUGAGGAGCCUAUUAGUGAAAUUGUAACAAUUCUCACAAACGAUGUAUUGGUUAUUGCUAAUGAAUAA